GCUAUUCCGAUAAGUACGGUUGCAUCAGAGGCCACAUUUAGUGCAGGAAGUCGAGUAUUAGAUCCUUAUCGUUCAAGGUUAGGUUCUGAUAUGGUAGAGGUUUUAGUUUGUGGAGCAGAUUGGAUUCGCCAACUUCAUGGAAUCAAGAAGCCCGUUAUGUCACAUGAGGAAGAAGCACCUUUUUAUGUCAUGUUGAACACCACUUAAGUUACAAGCUUGGAGGAAGAUUGGGUGCUUGACAUUUGUUCUAGUAUCAUGUUAUUUUGUUGAAUUUGAAACUUUUCGUGAUGUAUGUUCUAGAUGGAUAUUGUUUAUUUUACAAACUGUUAAAUUUGUGGCUUAUAUUGAGGAUUCCCAUAGUGGAAUUAUCACUUGAUCAUUUAUUAUUGUCCCUUUAUUGUUAUGUGUUUAUUUGGUAAAUAUGUUGAAUAUAUACCUAUAUUAUUGAACAUUUUUUUUCCUUCA